CCUACGGGAGGCAGCAGUGGGGAAUAUUGGGCAAUGGGCGCAAGCCUGACCCAGCAACGCCGCGUGAAGGAAGAAGGCUUUCGGGUUGUAAACUUCUUUUAAGAGGGAAGAGCAGAAGACGGUACCUCUUGAAUAAGCCACGGCUAACUACGUGCCAGCAGCCGCGGUAAUACGUAGGGGGCAAGCGUUAUCCGGAUUUACUGGGUGUAAAGGGAGCGUAGGUGGCAUGGUAAGCCAGAAGUGAAAACCCGGGGCUCAACCCCGCGGAUUGCUUUUGGAACUAUCAGGCUGGAGUGCUGGAGGGGUAAGCGGAAUUCCUAGUGUAGCGGUGAAAUGCGUAGAUAUUAGGAGGAACACCGGUGGCGAAGGCGGCUUACUGGACAGAAACUGACACUGAGGCUCGAAAGCGUGGGGAGCAAACAGGAUUAGAUACCCUUGUAGUC
rnacentral:rRNA from 1 species